GUUACUUUUCAGGAAACUGGUUUUGCUUAACUGCAGAUUAAAAGGGAAUCGUGUGAAAAUCACGAGCUGUCGCGCAACUGUAAGUAACUGAAGUCUUUAUUAAAAUCCACUGUGCUGGUCAUGGGAAGGAAAUAAAGAUGUUACAAGUCAGGAGACCUGCCUUUUUCUUCAUAACAAAA
rnacentral:ncRNA from 17 species